AUUGAACGCUGGCGGCAUGCUUUACACAUGCAAGUCGAACGGCAGCGCGGGCUUCGGCCUGGCGGCGAGUGGCGAACGGGUGAGUAAUGCAUCGGAACGUGCCCAGUAGUGGGGGAUAGCCCGGCGAAAGCCGGAUUAAUACCGCAUACGACCUGAGGGUGAAAGCGGGGGACCGAAAGGCCUCGAGCUAUUGGAGCGGCCGAUGUUGGAUUAGCUCGUUGGUGGGGUAAAGGCUUACCAAGGCGACGAUCCGUAGCUGGUCUGAGAGGACGACCAGCCACACUGGGACUGAGACACGGCCCAGACUCCUACGGGAGGCAGCAGUGGGGAAUUUUGGACAAUGGGGGCAACCCUGAUCCAGCCAUGCCGCGUGCGGGAAGAAGGCCUUCGGGUUGUAAACCGCUUUUGUUCGGGAAGAAAUCCUCUGGGCUAAUACCCCGGGGGGAUGACGGUACCGGAAGAAUAAGCACCGGCUAACUACGUG
rnacentral:rRNA from 1 species